GCUUGUGCACGAAGAAUCGCACCGGAUGCCGGUCGAUCGUGACCUUGACCGUGAAGUCAUGCGGAGUGCCUGGCUUGACGGUGUUCCGGGGCAUCGCGUCGUGGUGCGAGUGUAUCAGCGUCUCGUCCAGAUCCAGCACCAGCGUCUUCCGCUGAACCAUGCUGAGCCGGUGCCGGGACACCGGUGACAUCGGGAACAGUUCAUAUUUCACCGGUUGAUGCUGUACAAACUAAGUCAGUUGAUUAUCGUAGGAAAAGAAAAGGCAAAUCAUUUGGUGUGAUGGUGGUGUAGUGUUUUUUUCUGUUAUUAUUUCUGGUUCAAUGAUGGCAGCAGAGAUGUGCAGCGGUGAAGGAAGCGCUCUGUUUUUUUUGGGAAAGGGAACGAAUGCGCACGCGAAAUUAUAAGAAGCAAAUGGUUGUAAACAAAAGAUUCGAUUCGCUACGUAAUAGAGUCUUGCGGCGUGGGAACUCGAUAGUGGAACAUCUUUCUCCAAUAGGAAUUAUCUGUUUGUAAUGGCACCGAUUUGCUUCGAGAAGCAAGCUCCACCAUUCCACUUCGCGAACCGUUAAUUACACACAUGAUUAUGAUGAAUCUCUAACGACAAAGCAUGUCGCAAAAAUUACAACAUCAAGCGACCUCUUCUUAUUGCAAAAUCGACAAUGUGCACAAGAGCUAGACAGCACUCAUGGCGGGGUAAUCUCAUUCAAUAAUAGACAUGAUGUGGCCACUCAACCCGCCUGCGAAUGGAAACUCUGUAUUUGAAGCAAUAAUUGCUGGCGUCUGUCCAAAGAAAAGAACAAUUCUCAGUUUUAACUUUUUGUGAAUUCGUACAAGCUGUACGCAGAGAGUUUGUAGGUCUCGAACAAAGUUGUUUUGAGUAACAUAACGCUUUGAUAUCAACAAGGUAUCCGUCGCUCAAACUUCAAUUCCUUGGCGAAUCAAAAUUUUUCAAUGAAAAAUUGACCUUUCGCAUCCGUUACAUAGGAGCUCAGCUGGCAGUUGGAAACAUUACAUUUCAGAAGCAACUCCACUAAUCUGCGUAUUGUGUGCCCAGAUCGGUACCAAGCAGUGUGUGAACAUAUCAACUCGCAAAAUGGUUCGCAUGAGUGUUUGCUAGUCGUAUCCCCCUGUGCGACACCAAUCAUGCAUUUAGAAAUCCGUUCCGUCGGAAUACUAUUAUUAGAAUCCAUGCCGAGUGUCCCCCACCGGGACAAACAGAGGAUGAGGAUACCCCGUGUAUACACGGCGCAUAAUUGAAUCGCUCGGCAAUUAAGCACCUAUAUCACAUUCGUUCCUCCUCGCAAACUCGUCCGCUCACGUGAGCGCAUAUGUGACAAAUAAAGUGAUUAGAUAGACCGU